GGGUAAUUCGGUCCGCGCUGCUGAUGUCGACCAAAGACAAUUGCUUUGAAAGUUUAAAGUUCAAAUUUUGAUGAAAAUCUUAAAAAUCACAGCGUUUCAAAACAUGUUUAACCAAGUUUCGCUCAGAAUCGUACUUUGUUGGCAUUAUUUUAUCGUUGUGUACAGAUAUUAAUUAAAUUACUCAACGUAGGUAUCCAACCUCUCGUGGUAUACUCAUCAGCAGUGUCAGCUCUUUUCCUUUUUCAAUAACUACCUACUGAUACCGAUAAUUAAUUAAUCUUUUACGCUUUCAAUACUCAUAUAAUGUACUGACAUAGUAGUAGAUAUCAUUCGUAUAUUCGAUAGAAGUUAAUGCGGAAGUUAUUCGCGCCGAGUAUAAAAUUUAUGAAACGUGUACAAUUAAGGGUUUUAUACUGUACCUACCAUAUUAUACCUAUACGUUAUUGCGACC